UGUAGAAAUUUCAUCUAUUAUUCCAUGCCAAUGUUUCACGUGGGACGAUAGGACUAGGGGAACUAUCCUUGAUGUCCUAGGCAUCUUUCUGCUUUGUCUGAAUCUCGUGUCUCUAUCCUUGAAAUUGUUAGUAAAAUGUAACACUGGGGGAGCCAUGAUGACAGUUGGUCCCUCCCUGAGGUUUGAAGUCCUUGCUAAUGACCUACCUGUAAUUUUCAGACCCAUCAACAAGGAUCCUACAUGCUUUCUCAGGCCAGCAAGGAUCUAUUCUGGGCUCAGCCAAUUGGAUGCCCUCAUGUGGAACUCUGAAGUGAUGGAGGGAGUGAUGCAGAGACACAGAAACAUCAGAGUUACUGGCAGAGGGAUGAAUGCCAGGAAGUAUCCAGUGACAGCAACUGCCAAACUCAUCACCCUGCUCCUGUGUAAACAUAGGGACAGCUUAUGUUGAAAACUAGUUUUCAUCCCAUCCAUUCAGUGGACUAUUCAAUAUCCUUCUAAUAGCAUCUUUUCUGCUUAAAUGAGGAUGAAAAAAAGGAAGUCAGGAUGGCUUUGUGAUUUGGUAUCUUCUGCAUGGUAAGCUACCAUGAUAGUACUGGUGAAGGAAUGUUGAUAAGGAUAUUUGGAAUUAAAGUCUAAUUCCUAAUUCCACAGGUGAGGAAAUCAAGGCUCAGAAAUAUUGCCUACAGGUACCCAGUUAGUUAGGGUGGGAUGCAAAUCCUAGCCCUGACUCCUAGUUCCAAGCCCUUUUCAACACACCUGUCAGUGAAAUGAGGUGUAGAGUCCUGGAAAUUGCAAAGGUUGGCAAGGGGCCCUGCAUCAGUGCUUCCUAAAACUGCUUUUACCCCAGGGAAAAGUGAGACCUUUCAUUUUCUGCAGAGAAAAGCAAACAUUGCCCAUUAAGGCUUGUACACAUCCAUGCCACUCUGUUUGGGAACUGUUGCUGAUACGUAGCAGCAGGACAUGUUAGGAGCCACUGGGCUGUAAGGAACACUUGUUGACAGUGACAAGAAAGCUGGUGCUUAUUACAGCAAUGCAGUUAUGUCAUUGUGUAUAAAAGAGCUUGAAAAAUGAAGAAAUGUGGCAAGAUUCUAAAGUAUAUUCCUAUUACUCAAUACAACAGAUAUAUAAAAGCCUACUGUGUACAAAGCAUAGGACAUGGAAUUUAAAUCUACCAAGAUGGAUGAGCCACAGACUCUGGCCUUGAGGAGUUUAUAACUUAAGAGGGAAAGGCAGUUGUCACAAGCUUGAUCCAUGGGAUGUGUCUGGCAGAAGUGGAGGUUGCAGAAGAUGAGUGUAAUCUGGAAAUAUAGGCCAGUGAAGGAUUAGGAAAGAGACUGUUCAAAAAUCGAACAGGGGUGCCACCUCUGACUGCAAUCUAAGGAAAGAAAAGGCAAGAGCAGAGACCAAGAGAACAGUCAGGAGAUUUUUUACAAGAGGGCUGACAAGAGAUAUGAUCAUGUCAAAAGGAAGAGGAAAGAAAGGCUACUUUGAGAAUGAAAUUGCAAUUUCAUAGCACAGUAGACACAGCCCUUCAUAAAUGUACCUCUGCUUUAUCUCUUGGCACUUAAUGUGUACCUGGAUCUUUCUUAACACCUCUUUAAAAAGGCCUUCCUCUCUCACAUCUCUGUAUCUUUGCACAUACUACUUUUUCCCACUUUCUGAAAGGCUUUCUUCUGCUCUUUACCUACAUCAAUCUCCUUCAUCUAACUUUCAUGUCACUUUCUCCAGGAUGCGGAAGGCUUCCACUUUUUCCUCCCAGCCUUGGCAACCGGUAGUUAGUUAAUGGCAACUAAUAAUUAUCAUACCGUCCAUUGAUAAUCUAUUUUGUUAUGUUUCUUUUACUAGGUAUGAGCUUUUUGAAGUGGCACUGUCUCGUGUUCUAAAUCCACGGCAUGAAAACAGAAAUAAGCUUAAAAUAUAUGGAUUAUAGAAGUGAAACGAGACACAAUGUGGAUUCAGAUCGGAUAUGAUUUGGCAACUGAUUGGACGUGGGGGCUGAGAAAAGAAGGGAUCGUGGAGCU